GGUCCUUAGACAGUGAACCUCUUUAGCUGUUUAGUUGAAGUCAUUGGUAUAUUUAAAUAUUUAAAUAGGUUUGUGCAGGAGAACCUUCUGAUUCUAAGUUUGAGCCUAGGAGGAUGGGCUGAGUCAGAACUCACUGUUCCCAAAAUGGUCCAGGAACACUUUCUGCCAGCUAGACUGCAGGAUGAGUGAGUCAUCCAGGGGGGAAAGAAUCAUCCACUGUAUUUUAUUAAUGGAAAAUUUGUCAUUCUGCUUUUAAUUGAAGGAUUAAAAGGGAGAAACAAGAACAGUUUAGAUUUGAAUUCCUGUAUGAUUUAGGCUUCCAGGCCUCAGAGAUUUCUCCCAGACAGACAAAGACGGCAAGGCCUGGUCAAGAGAUACUGCCUUUGCUUGGUCUCCCCUCAAGCAUACUGUGAGACAAGGAUUCAAGGUGAUUUAUUCAAGGUCAUCCCAGGAAAUAGCAGCAGGCAGGUAAGCAAGCUAGAAAGGGAAGGAUAGGGAACCAGCAAAUAAUUCAGCAUCAAGCAAGUUACUCCUUUGGUUAAACUGGUACUCCUCCCCUCUGAGGAAUUACAGGACACCCUGUGGAAGGUACACUUCAAGGCAUUCCAUCCAAGAGAGCAAGGAAGCUGAAGUGUUCCAUCCACCAAUCUCUCAGCAUUGAUUGAUGGCUACUUCUGAGAUCAAUAACUGGUACUUCCUGUUUACCUGGAAUGGGCCAAGCUUCUCUUAUGUUGAGAAAGUGACAGAUAUUUUCGGUGAUCAGCCUUGGGUGUGCAGAAGUGAAUGCUGAGGGAAUAUGGAGCUGCAUACCUCAACAGCAACUACAGAUUGGGCAGCAAAAGGAGCCACUCGUGGACCUCACACAGCCAGCAAAGAAGGCAGAAGGCUUUGCUGACCAUAUUCCUCACUCACCAGAGGGGCAGUGCAUACAGAUCCUGCUGUGGGAUGAAGGUAAAGUGCCUGAGUUAUAGAUAGAUACGUCACUGGCUGAAGAGUACUGAGUGACUUGGUAUGUGCUUGUACAAGAUUUCGGACAGCAGCUGGAAACUAUCAGAAGAUUUUUGAAAUAGUUUGAAGAAAGAGGAAGGCCUGAACUAAAUCUUGGGAGUAUGAAUAGAAGGGGGAUGGCUUCAUGAUAUCUCAUCUCUGGGGCUUUGCAUAUUCCUCCUGCUUUACCUGGACUAGGUUGCCCUUAUUCUCUUAAGCUCAGUGCUAACUUCUUUGUGAAGAUUUCCAUAAGAAGAUUCAUAUAUAUCUUCUCUGUAUACUUUCUACCUUAUAAAUAAAUCAGUUUUAACAGGGAAGUAUUUUGUUGAA
rnacentral:lncRNA from 1 species